GCCGCCUGGACGGUGCCAGCCCCUGCCUGUCUUCCCCUCCAGGCUCACAGGGCUCCAGCAUCGCAUGAGGGGGGAGCCCCGCUCCAGCCGCUGACACCAUGGGCAGCUGUGGGCGAGCGGAGAGCCACAGCCGGAGCGGCAUGGUGGGAACGGACGCCGAACAGCUCCCCACACCAGCUGAUGCCACGGCCACGGCCGCCAGCGCGGAGCCAAGGGAAUAGAGGCCUGCAGCGACCCACAUGAGGCACCCAUGACACCCACAUCCUCUUCCUGAUGCAGUGCGUGCAGGUUGACCUGAAGCUGCGGGUGGAAAAGCUGAACGUGACGAUGGUGCCUGGCGUGGCCAAGGUGGGGGAGGGGCCCAGUGCCAGGCUGCCACGGGAGUCCAAAGAAGACCGAGAGGAGCGCGUCCUUGCCAUGCUGGGCAUCGUGGGAACCAUCCUGAACCUCCUGGUCAUCAUCUUUGUCUACAUUUACACUACCAUUUAGCCCUGUGCCUCUUCUGCAGAGACCGUGUGGGGAGCAUGGCCUGGAGAAAGCUGUGCAGGACCAGGAGCAAAAGGUGCUUGAACUGGGCUGGACCCGGGCCGCUGGCCAGGCCCCACUGGGACUCUACUGCUGCCCCUCUGGCUUUGCCGGCUGCGGGAACCUGCUGACAAAAGAGCACCUGGGGUUGGGACAGACGUGGGCGAUGCCA
rnacentral:lncRNA from 1 species